CGGCGGGGGGUCCGAGCGGCCCGUCGAGGGGACCAGAGGUUGACCUUAAAGUAUGAGGCAGCCUUGGCCCUUAGAGAGACCCCCUGAGACGCCGAUGUAAAGCCCCCUCUGCAGGAAGCUGCAGCGGGUAGUCGUGUUUCCUCGUCCAGUUUUCAGUCGAGAUGAGUCCCCAGACCACGGUCAUGUCCGGCUACGGCGGACCAGCCCAGCCCCAGGCUACUGAACAGCGGCUCCGCGGCAGUCAGCUCCCGUACCGGCCUCGCAGUUUCCUUCCUCGCAGUUUCCUUCCCGCCCAGCGCCUGACAGACUCCGCGUGUCAGCAGAGUCGAUGGACUCCGAUGUCUGUGUUUUCACUUACAGGCCAAAAGCCUAUGUCUUUGCUAGCCCGAGCAGCAUGUUUCUUGGUAAAAUGUUUGCUUAAUUUUGAUUGCUUCACUACUACAUUAAGAAAAAAAAAAAACAUACUAGCAGACUGCGCGCACUUGUAACGUUAUGAGUGGGUGAGGCUAUAAAACUCAGCGUAUGUAUAUGUGCAUAUGUGUGCGCGUGCACAUGCAUAGAAUCACCAGCAAGGUGACGACUACAUGGACUAAUAAAGUGAGUUGUACCGGCAACUCAAACUCAGGAUUAAUAUAGCCAUUAGCGAUUUUCUGACAGUCAACUAUUAUUGGUAAAAUGCAGAACAAAAUUAAAAAUAUUCUUUCCUCGAUUUACAUCGUUUAUAUAUUCAUGGAAAAUUCAAUGUAUUAAAAUUGUCAAAUGUUAUUUUUGUAUAAUGGACUGAGUUCCUACACUCAGAUACUUAUCAAGAGUUUUUUCGUCUACAUGAAUGUCCAGCAGGACCAUUCUUUUGGUGUGGGAAAUUGACCUGUGUGUAUUUCAAGAUGUUGCUCACACUACAAAUGCACAUUGCAGGAAACAGAUGGGGAAAAUAUAACUGCCUCAGCAAUUACACAGCAUUUAUGAAGACCUGAAAUAUCAUUUGUCAUUGUUAAAGAUACAAAAGCCUACCAAGGUAUCUAAAAGCUGUUGUAACAACCUAAUUACCUUAUCUUUUAUUCUGUAAUAACCCUAUCAUUUUAAUGACUCCGUUUGUCCUUUAUCAUCUCUGCUUCUACUGCUGCUAUCUUUUCUCAGUGCUUCCUCCAAUCAAAACACCUAAGACUCUGUAGUGGGUAUCAUGAUGCAUAGCCCAGAUCUCCCUUUGCAUCUCCUUGGAGUGUUGGCUGCUGACAUUUCACAGCCAAGUCCCUCUUCUGUAACUGUGGAAGAAGAAAGCGGCCAUGCACAGGGUUGUGCUCCCUACCUGAGAAAGGUCCAUGACUGGUCAUUGUGGGCCAUCCCUCUUGUCUCAAGUGAGGCAACUCUGAAGCACCAUCCCAGCUUCAGAACUCAUGAUUUGCUGAAAUCUCUAUUACAAGGGCAUUACACUUGAACUUCUCUGUAUUCCUAAUUUUGCUUCCUAAACUCCUACCAGAUAUUGUUCCCAAGAACACACUAAUAAACCUACUGCUUAUGAUCAGAUUCUCAGAGUCUGUUUCCAAUGGAAUGCUCUCUGCUACAGAAUCUGAUUGGGUCAAUUAGAUAUUAUCCCAUUAUUCAAUACCUGAUGUCCCUAAUAGGAUGUUUGUGAUGAUGGCAUAAACUCCUGGUUUUCUUUAUGUCUAUUCUCUACGUGGUAGACUUUUGCCAAGGUGCUGCUUUUUGUUUCAAACAUAUAUGGCCAGAGUAGAAGUGUCAGUUGCCUAAAACAUGGUGUGUGUUUUUAUGUGUUUGCUUUAAUAAGAAACAAAAAUUAUACUGUGGGCAUAGAUGCUUAGGUCUCAUGGACUUGCAGUGAGAUAGCACAUUUAAAAGACUAACAAAGGCCUUGAAUUUGGAGAGUGUUCAAUAAUGGAAAUUAUCAUAUUUACCCAACUUUGAAUUGAAUAUUUUCAUAGAAUUUGCCCAGGUCUGACUUAUAUAAUCUAAUAAGGGAGUAGAAAUACUACUUCUAAACUACCAUAAAACUAUAGCAUUUUUGAACACAGGGCAAUGGUCAAAUUCAGGGAUAAGAGUCCUAAGUUGGAAGCCUCUAUGAUCAGCACAAAUGCCCAUCAAAUUCCACAGAGCCAUUUAUUGGGCACUGAAAUAUGGCCACCAUCUCCAUUGAAAUUGUUUCAUACACAUAGAAGCUGGAGACAAGAGUAUAGAAUGCUGCUCCAGAAAAUGUCACAUUUCAAUGACCAUGUUUGCCAGCUCAUACAAAACCAAGAAAAUGCAUAAAACAUUUACCUUCCCAAGUAUGCAAGUGUACUUAAUUUGCAAAACCUAAUUCACGUACAGAACACUAGCUGCAAGGGAGUCUAAAAAUGUCAUUGGCAGUGCUACAACCUUUGUAGAACAGAAAGGCACAGUAGAAGGAGUGUAGGUUUGGAGGUGAAAGAGUCCAUCUAUAUGAAUCACCAUUGUAGCAAACAGCACCAUAAAAUCUAGAAAAAACUUGAUCAUCAAUGGACAGCUGAGCAAGAAUUCAAUUUAACUCCCACAACUAACUGACUUUUUGUACUCAUUCAACUAACCAGAUUCUAUGUAAUAACCUUUCACCUUUGACGUUGGUUUCUCAUGUAUGUAUCUAUAACUAACUAUUUUUAAAAUUUAUUUUAGGAUAUGGUAAACACAAGUAAAUUAUAUAAUUGGUAGGUUACUCAUAAUGUUUCUUUGCUUUUAUUUAGUUUUGGUGGUCAGUAUAUAACUUCAUGUCUGUACACAUGUUUAAAACCAAAAAAUAUUGAGCUAAUGGAAUGAAAACAAGGUCAGCCAGUUCUGCUGUAAAGAUACCGUUCUGGCAAUAAAAGUAUUUCUUUGAGAUAAA